rnacentral:rRNA from 1 species
UACGUAGGGGGCUAGCGUUGUCCGGAAUCAUUGGGCGUAAAGAGCGUGUAGGCGGCCCGGUAAGUCCGCUGUGAAAGUCGGGGGCUCAACCCUCGAAUGCCGGUGGAUACUGUCGGGCUAGAGUUCGGAAGAGGCGAGUGGAAUUCCCGGUGUAGCGGUGAAAUGCGCAGAUAUCGGGAGGAACACCUAUGGCGAAGGCAGCUCGCUGGGACGUUACUGACGCUGAGACGCGAAAGCGUGGGGAGCGAACAGG